rnacentral:rRNA from 1 species
CACGUAGGGAGCAAGCGUUGUCCGGAUUUAUUGGGCGUAAAGAGCUCGUAGGUGGUUCGGUAAGUCGGAUGUGAAAUCUCCAGGCUCAACCUGGAGGGGUCAUUCGAUACUGCCGUGACUAGAGUUCGGUAGGGGAGUGUGGAAUUCCUGGUGUAGCGGUGAAAUGCGCAGAUAUCAGGAAGAACACCCGUGGCGAAGGCGGCUCUCUGGGACGGUACUGACGCUGAGACGCGAAAGCGUGGGGAGCGAACAGG